rnacentral:rRNA from 1 species
AUGUGGCGGCACAUGCUCGAGUACUGUGAGGCGAGCCGCCGCCGCUCCGGUGGCGGGGGUGAGGUGUUGUUCCUGAGGUACGAGGAGAUGCUGCGCGACCGGGCGGCGAACCUGAAGACGAUGGUGGAGUUCAUGGGAUGCGGCUUCUCCGAGGAGGAGCUGGCGCGAGGGGUGGUGGAGGAUAUCGUGGAUCUUUGUAGCAUUGAGAAGCUCAGGAACAUGGAGGCCAACAGGGACGGGCGGCAGAACGUGUCGGGCAUCAGGAGCGACGCUUUCUUCCGGAAGGGGGUCGUCGGGGACUGGAGCAACCAUAUGUCGCCGGAGAUGGGGAAGAUGCUGGACGAGAUCGUGGAGGACGCGCUCCAGGGGUCUGGGUUCAGCUUCGCGGGCUCAGCUACGGCGAGCCACUAA